rnacentral:rRNA from 1 species
CUACGUAGGUGGCAAGCGUUGUCCGGAUUUAUUGGGCGUAAAGCGAGCGCAGGCGGUUCUUUAAGUCUGAUGUGAAAGCCCCCGGCUCAACCGGGGAGGGUCAUUGGAAACUGGAGAACUUGAGUGCAGAAGAGGAGAGUGGAAUUCCAUGUGUAGCGGUGAAAUGCGUAGAUAUAUGGAGGAACACCAGUGGCGAAGGCGGCUCUCUGGUCUGUAACUGACGCUGAGGCUCGAAAGCGUGGGGAGCAAACAGGAUUAGAUACCCUGGUAGUCCACGCCGUAAACGAUGAGUGCUAAGUGUUGGAGGGUUUCCGCCCUUCAGUGCUGCAGCUAACGCAUUAAGCACUCCGCCUGGGGAGUACGGCCGCAAGGCUGAAACUCAAAGGAAUUGACGGGG